CACCAGGGUAGGUGAGAGGGUGUUUUGGUCUUUUCUCUCCCUCGUUUGUAUCACCACCCCACCUACUUCUAUAUACAGGCGUAGAGCUCUUGAGAGGGAGUGUUCUUGCUGCUCCUUCUUCCUCUCUCUCUCUAGCUUGGUUUGACCGGGGAGAGCUCGGUUGGAGAAUCCGUCGCCGACGUCGCGCCGCGGAACCGUUCGAGCACGUGUUUGACACCGUGGUAGCACGAGGAGGCCGGGCGAGCGGAGGUUUUCGCCGUUUUGCUGUCGCAGCGGUGCUCGGUGUUGUCGAGGUGAGUAUUCAGCAUUUCUUUGGAUUUUUGGGCAAAUUCUUACUACUUCAACUCGAAGAGACGUUGUUUGCUGAAUUUCACCGUCGACUGUUUGUAUUUUGGCUCGUUCUCGACGUAGGAGCAUCGGAUUGCGACGAGACUUGGCUCGUUGGAUUCGGGACUUCGAGAGGAAUCCACGAAGCCCUUACUUGUGAUUUUUGGUGAAGCUUGGAGUUAGCUCGAUUGCGAGAAUCGGACGUUUUCAGUCGACCCAGCAGGUGGUGUCGCAGCUGAGGGGAGUGUUCCGCUGCCUGGGAUUAGCGUGCGAGAGCCACAGGUUCCGGCUGCUGCACCGUCUGCGGACCAGGAUCGAGGCAAG